GCGUGCUUAACACAUGCAAGUCGAACGGAAAGGCCCUGCUUUUGUGGGGUGCUCGAGUGGCGAACGGGUGAGUAACACGUGAGUAACCUGCCCUUGACUUUGGGAUAACUUCAGGAAACUGGGGCUAAUACCGGAUAGGAGCUCCUGCUGCAUGGUGGGGGUUGGAAAGUUUCGGCGGUUGGGGAUGGACUCGCGGCUUAUCAGCUUGUUGGUGGGGUAGUGGCUUACCAAGGCUUUGACGGGUAGCCGGCCUGAGAGGGUGACCGGCCACAUUGGGACUGAGAUACGGCCCAGACUCCUACGGGAGGCAGCAGUGGGGAAUAUUGCACAAUGGGCGGAAGCCUGAUGCAGCAACGCCGCGUGCGGGAUGACGGCCUUCGGGUUGUAAACCGCUUUCGCCUGUGACGAAGCGUGAGUGACGGUAAUGGGUAAAGAAGCACCGGCUAACUACGUGCCAGCAGCCGCGGUGAUACGUAGGGUGCGAGCGUUGUCCGGAUUUAUUGGGCGUAAAGGGCUCGUAGGUGGUUGAUCGCGUCGGAAGUGUAAUCUUGGGGCUUAACCCUGAGCGUGCUUUCGAUACGGGUUGACUUGAGGAAGGUAGGGGAGAAUGGAAUUCCUGGUGGAGCGGUGGAAUGCGCAGAUAUCAGGAGGAACACCAGUGGCGAAGGCGGUUCUCUGGGCCUUUCCUGACGCUGAGGAGCGAAAGCGUGGGGAGCGAACAGGCUUAGAUACCCUGGUAGUCCACGCUGUAAACGGUGGGUACUAGGUGUGGGGUCCAUUCCACGGGUUCCGUGCCGUAGCUAACGCUUUAAGUACCCCGCCUGGGGAGUACGGCCGCAAGGCUAAAACUCAAAGGAAUUGACGGGGCCCCGCACAAGCGGCGGAGCAUGCGGAUUAAUUCGAUGCAACGCGUAGAACCUUACCUGGGUUUGACAUGGAUCGGGAGUGCUCAGAGAUGGGUGUGCCUCUUUUGGGGUCGGUUCACAGGUGGUGCAUGGCUGUCGUCAGCUCGUGUCGUGAGAUGUUGGGUUAAGUCCCGCAACGAGCGCAACCCUUGUUCACUGUUGCCAGCACGUUAUGGUGGGGACUCAGUGGAGACCGCCGGGGUCAACUCGGAGGAAGGUGGGGAUGACGUCAAGUCAUCAUGCCCCUUAUGUCCAGGGCUUCACGCAUGCUACAAUGGCUGGUACAGAGAGUGGCGAGCCUGUGAGGGUGAGCGAAUCUCGGAAAGCCGGUCUCAGUUCGGAUUGGGGUCUGCAACUCGACCUCAUGAAGUCGGAGUCGCUAGUAAUCGCAGAUCAGCAACGCUGCGGUGAAUACGUUCCCGGGGCUUGUACACACCGCCCGUCAAGUCAUGAAAGUUGGUAACACCCGAAGCCGGUGGCCUAACCGUUGUGGGGGAGCCGUCGAAGGUGGGACUGGUGAUUAGGAC
rnacentral:rRNA from 1 species